rnacentral:rRNA from 1 species
GAUGAACGCUGGCGGCGUGCCUAAUACAUGCAAGUCGAGCGAACGGACGAGAAGCUUGCUUCUCUGAUGUUAGCGGCGGACGGGUGAGUAACACGUGGAUAACCUACCUAUAAGACUGGGAUAACUUCGGGAAACCGGAGCUAAUACCGGAUAAUAUUUUGAACCGCAUGGUUCAAAAGUGAAAGACGGUCUUGCUGUCACUUAUAGAUGGAUCCGCGCUGCAUUAGCUAGUUGGUAAGGUAACGGCUUACCAAGGCAACGAUGCAUAGCCGACCUGAGAGGGUGGUCGGCCAACGGGGAACUGAGACACGGCCCAGACCCCAGGGGGGGGCAGCGGGAGGAAAUCUUCCGAAAGGGGCGAAAGCCUGACGGGGCAACGCCGCGUGAGUGAUGAAGGUCUUGGGAUCGAAAAACUUUUUUUUUGGGGAAAAACAUAUGUGUAAGAAACUGGGCACAUUUUGACGGUACCAAAACAGAAAGCCACGGCUAACUACG